AGUGAACGCUGGCGGUAGGCCUAACACAUGCAAGUCGAACGGCAGCACAGUAAGAGCUUGCUCUUACGGGUGGCGAGUGGCGGACGGGUGAGGAAUACAUCGGAAUCUACUUUUUCGUGGGGGAUAACGUAGGGAAACUUACGCUAAUACCGCAUACGACCUACGGGUGAAAGCAGGGGAUCUUCGGACCUUGCGCGAUUGAAUGAGCCGAUGUCGGAUUAGCUAGUUGGCGGGGUAAAGCCCACCAAGGCGACGAUCCGUAGCUGGUCUGAGAGGAUGAUCAGCCACACUGGAACUGAGACACGGUCCAGACUCCUACGGGAGGCAGCAGUGGGGAAUAUUGGACAAUGGGCGCAAGCCUGAUCCAGCCAUACCGCGUGGGUGAAGAAGGCCUUCGGGUUGUAAAGCCCUUUUGUUGGGAAAGAAAAGCAGCAGGUUAAUACCCCGCUGUCCUGACGGUACCCAAAGAAUAAGCACCGGCUAACUUCGUG
rnacentral:rRNA from 1 species